AUGACAAAUUGGAAAUCCCUUUCAGAAACACUUAGUUCAGUACUUCAGUUGGUUGAAAGUUGAAGCUCGUGUACGGCGCUACUGCAGUCACCUCUCCCUCUUGCGUUCUUUGACGAUCUCCUCUAACGACGAUCUUUUCUGAUGACAUCUCCUCCCGCGACAGCUUCUCUAGCGGCGAUCUCCUCCGGUGACGGCCCCUCCAGCUUCCUCUCCUUGUCGUCCCCUGUGUCUUCUCUGCCAAAAUCUCAGCGCCUCCUUUUCGUUCUGGAUCAGUAAGGUCGGCUUGCCUCUUUUAGGUCGUAUGCAAGGAUUCAUUGCGAGUGGUUCCACUGUUUGCGUAGCAAGAUCAACAGCAACAUCAAGAAUAAGAAGAUGCCAGCGCUGGAUUUUGAAUCGUAGUGGAGUAGUAGUGGCGAGUGUACUUCUCCACAGUCCACAUCCGCUAUGGCCGAGCAUUGACGCUUUGAUUUGGUGAAGAGGAAAGCUCUGGAUUGUACGGACACUCAGAACCAUUAUCCAUAUAAUAUGUCCAUAUGAUUGAGAUGAAUUGUUUCUAAGCCAUAGAGGAAUUAUCUAAAAGAACAAUGGCAUUACUUGACUGUUUUUGAAAUGAUUUCUCUAGUAAUCUUUCUCAUCAGUUGAGUUUAAACAUGUUUCAUGCAAUUUCUUGUCCAUAAGGUGUUUGUGUUAUUGUCUUUGAGUCUAAUAUUUUCUUUGAGGAGCUUAUGCUUUAUGUAUUUCUUGUGCCUGGGUCAUCAAUCAUUCUCCUUUGCUUUGUUGAUAUAAUUGAGAUGAAUUGUUUCUAAGCCAUAGGUCCUUAUCUAUUAUAGCAUUUUCCAAAUCAGUAUAAGAACUAGAAAAUUUUCAUCAAUAGAAUGUGAUUUUAGCCAAUAUUAUCAUUUAGUUAUACUUAGUUAUGGUAAUAACUCAAAAUAGCCUUCUUAUAAAAAGAUUCAUCAGCACUAGAAAUUUUUUGAUUGAUUCUGUUUUUAUUCAUGUUCAAAGAUAUAUGCUGCUACUUGUAUUAUAUAUCAUUUAUGCGUUGGUUAUAAGUGAGGAAAGAUUUGUGAUGGAGAAAAUUGGAAACUGUUCACCAAUGGAUUCUCUUUUGAGCUCAUACCUAGGGCCAAAUUUUAGAUUUUGAAAUUUGUACUUAUAAAUCUUUCACUGACUUACUAGUCUGACUUGACAGUGUGAAAGAAUGAGUGAAUUUAAUGUUCCUCUGAUGUCUUUCUUUUUACUUCCUCCAUCUUAUUUGGGUAUAUGUCUACUAAAUUUUCUGUCUUUACAUUCACAGGUGGCUGCUCUUGUUCCUGAAGGUGCAGCAAGAAGUGAAAGCCUCAGUAUCAUUAAUGGCAUGCGAUACCUGAAGCUUGGGGUGAAAACUGAGGGUGCAUUGAACAACAGGUGAAUGAUUUUGUAUAUAUUUGGGGACCCUCCUUCCACUUGCAGGGUCAGUUUAAGACAACUGAGAGAGACAUAAGAAAUUGGAGGCCUUCUUAAGCAGAUGUAAAGGUGUUCUGCACUCCUGUCAUUCUUUUGCAUAAUUAACUGUUAGAUUUUGCUAAUGAGUAUCUUAAAGUUUAUAUUUGGAAAUUGUUUCUUGAUAAAAAUCAAUUGGUAACUCCUCAAUACACACUUUUUAAGAACUUCUUGCCAAUAUUAGUUAAUAUUAAUACACACUUUUUAAGAUCUUCCUUGACCCAAAGACCACAUCUAAGAUCCAUGUGAGAACAAAGAUUGUAUGCUAAUUAAUCCUCUUUAGUUUUCUCAAGGAAAGUAGGAUUUAAACUGAAAUUAAUUCUACAUUUACAAGUACUUGGCAACAAGUAUCAAAGCAAAUUGCUAGAAGUGAUUGAUGCUAGGUGAGCCAUAUAACUCAUUAUUACUUUUAAUCCCUUUUUAGUUUUUACACUCCACAUUGUUCUUAUCCAUUACUUUUGCAUUGAUAGUGAGUUGCCAGAGUUUUUAGGAGGUACUUGUACCUGUGCUGAUCAUGGAGGCUGCAUGCAUUCUGAUAAGGGUCCAUGGAAGGAUCCAGAUAUGUAUUCUCUAACCCCUUUUGGUACAUGAGCUCAAUCUCAACGAUACUGCAUUCUGUCCUUUUUGAAUUGGUAGGUGAAAGGUUUGGCGUUCAACAAAUACUCGUGGCUGACGACACAUAAUUCAUAUGCUGUGUCCGACACAAAGUUGCAGACGGGAUCUUCUAUUAUAUCAGCCACCAACCAGGAUUACAACGUUACCCAUCAACUCAAUGAAUGGUGUUCGAGCUUCGAGGCCUUAUGUUAGAUAUGUAUGACUUUGAAAACGAUAUCUGGUUAUGCCAUUCCUUUGGAGGUCAAUGUUUCAACGCUACUUUAUUUAUAUAUCCAAAUAAUUCUAUGGACAUGUUUUCCAAAUACUGAGUAUUUGACAAGACAUCAGGAUCGGGUCCAAAGUGAAUAUGCUGUUACGAAUGAUGAUGCAAGAAAUGGAACCCUUUUUGGUGCAUUGGCUGAAGCUGCAUUCCUCAUUGGAUUAGAAAGAAAUAGGCUAGGUGCCAAUAUAAUACAUAGUUCUUUUAUUAAUUUCAUUAUGUUUAAUUUUUAGCAAACUGGCUUUUUAAUUUAAGUAAUUUUCUUUAUUUGAUCUACUAGUUAUAUUAUUCACAUUUAUUUCAUCAUUUUAUCUCUUAAUUUGAUGUAGUGAUAUUGUCCACAUGAUUUGCUAUGCACCACUGGGUAAAAUAUGCUUCUCAGAUACUAUUUAUUGCAUUGAUUUGCUUGAGUAGAAUCAUAAUUUAAUAGCUACAGUGAUUAUGUUAGUAUCAGAUAAUUGAAUAGUAAAUUGUAUGGAAUUGGAAGAUCAUUCAGAAUUUAUAUUAGUGGCAAGUUAUUUGAAAUAAGUAAUAAUUGAUAUCCAGAUCUCCCCAUUUUGUUGGUAUUUUCACUGUUGAUAUCUAGCUGUAUAUAAUUUUUUUAUUGUUGAUUAUACAAUAUGUUUUCCUUCAACUGUCUCAGGUCAGUUAUUAUGAAAAUGACAUUGAUUGUAGGUGUUUUCUGCAGCUUGCUCAUUUUGGGGAGAAGUUUGAUUCUUCAACAUGUCAGAAAACAUGUGAUAAUUGUUUGAAGAACACAAGUUUUAUUGAGAAAGAUGUCAUUGAGAUUGCAAAGCAAUUGGUUUGAAAGCAUCUUCUUUAUAUAAAAUUUACUGUUUUCAUCCUUCCAAUUUAAGGAAUUAUGUUAGUUUCAAACUUCCAAUAUUUGAGAUAGAGACCUUAGUUCACUAUUUCUCAGUUCGUUUGAUUGCCUCUUUUUAGGUUGAACUGGUUAAGCUAACUGGGCAGAAGGUCUCAUCAUCACAUAUAUUAGAAGUCUAUCAUGGAUCCUUAAGCCAGUUGGCAUGCCACUGAGAUAACUUGUUUUAUUUCUCCUCUCUUCACUGUUACAAAUAUUUUCUUGCCCUAUUUAACCAUUAAAUAUGUCCUCUAUUUAUGUACUUUUAAUGUUAAAAUCAGGUCAAGAAACAUCGUCAUGAUACUUUGAGCCUUCAUGGUGCUGGGAAGCAUCUAGCUAAGGGUGAGGCUUCUUCCAGAGUAAGGCAGUGCUGAUUCUGCAAAAAGGAGACGAGAUGCAAAUGGAGGCCUAGAUAGAAAUCUUGAGGAUGAUGAUGAGUUGACUAAAAAAAUCAAAAUGUAAUAUUUAUUUACACGGACAUGAACAAUGAAAAUGUUGGAAUGAUCUGUAGCAAAUUUGUUGAGCAUCUCUAGGAAAACACCCAAUGUAAUAGAAUUAACAAUAUUUCUUAGUUUGAUACUUUGUAUAGGAGUUAUUAUUUUUUAUUUGUAAUACUAAAAAAUCAUAUAUUAUGUUUAAUACUUUGAGUUAUAUAAUAUUUUGUCUAUAUAUUAUGAUUUUGUUAUUGUGGAAUUUUAAUAAAAAAAUUAUUUAUUUA